GACGAACGCUGGCGGCGUGCCUAAUACAUGCAAGUAGAACGCUGAAGGAGGAGCUUGCUUCUCUGGAUGAGUUGCGAACGGGUGAGUAACGCGUAGGUAACCUGCCUGGUAGCGGGGGAUAACUAUUGGAAACGAUAGCUAAUACCGCAUAAGAGUAGAUGUCGCAUGACAUUUGCUUAAAAGGUGCAAUAGCAUCACUACCAGAUGGACCUGCGUUGUAUUAGCUAGUUGGUGAGGUAACGGCUCACCAAGGCAACGAUACAUAGCCGACCUGAGAGGGUGAUCGGCCACACUGGGACUGAGACACGGCCCAGACUCCUACGGGAGGCAGCAGUAGGGAAUCUUCGGCAAUGGACGGAAGUCUGACCGAGCAACGCCGCGUGAGUGAAGAAGGUUUUCGGAUCGUAAAGCUCUGUUGUAAGAGAAGAACGAGUGUGAGAGUGGAAAGUUCACACUGUGACGGUAUCUUACCAGAAAGGGACGGCUAACUACGUG
rnacentral:rRNA from 1 species